rnacentral:tRNA from 2 species
AAAACUUUAAGUUAAAUAAACUAAUAAUCUUCAAAAUUAUUUAUAAAGUAAAUCUUUAAGUUUUA